ACGAACGCUGGCGGCACGCUUAACACAUGCAAGUCGAACGAGAGAAGAGAAGCUUGCUUUUCUGAUCUAGUGGCGGACGGGUGAGUAACACGUGAGCAAUCUGCCUUUCAGAGGGGGAUACCGAUUGGAAACGAUCGUUAAUACCGCAUAACAUAAUUGAACCGCAUGAUUUGAUUAUCAAAGAUUUAUCGCUGAAAGAUGAGCUCGCGUCUGAUUAGCUAGUUGGUAAGGUAACGGCUUACCAAGGCGACGAUCAGUAGCCGGACUGAGAGGUUGAUCGGCCACAUUGGGACUGAGACACGGCCCAGACUCCUACGGGAGGCAGCAGUGGGGAAUAUUGCACAAUGGAGGAAACUCUGAUGCAGCGAUGCCGCGUGAGGGAAGAAGGUUUUAGGAUUGUAAACCUCUGUCUUCAGGGACGAAAAAUGACGGUACCUGAGGAGGAAGCUCCGGCUAACUACGUGCCAGCAGCCGCGGUAAUACGUAGGGAGCGAGCGUUGUCCGGAAUUACUGGGUGUAAAGGGAGCGUAGGCGGGAUCGCAAGUCAGAUGUGAAAACUAUGGGCUUAACCCAUAAACUGCAUUUGAAACUGUGGUUCUUGAGUGAAGUAGAGGUAAGCGGAAUUCCUAGUGUAGCGGUGAAAUGCGUAGAUAUUAGGAGGAACAUCAGUGGCGAAGGCGGCUUACUGGGCUUUAACUGACGCUGAGGCUCGAAAGCGUGGGGAGCAAACAGGAUUAGAUACCCUGGUAGUCCACGCCGUAAACGAUGAUUACUAGGUGUGAGGGGACUGACCCCUUCCGGGCCGCAGCAAACGCAAUAAGUAAUCCACCUGGGGAGUACAACCGCAAGGUUGAAACUCAAAGGAAUUGACGGGAGCCCGCACAAGCAGUGGAGUAUGUGGAUUAAUUCGAAGCAACGCGAAGAACCUUACCAGGUCUUGACAUCGUAUGCAUAGCUCAGAGAUGAGUGAAAUCUCUUCGGAGACAUAUAGACAGGUGGUGCAUGGUUGUCGUCAGCUCGUGUCGUGAGAUGUUGGGUUAAGUCCCGCAACGAGCGCAACCCUUACUGUUAGUUGCUACGCAAGAGCACUCUAGCAGGACUGCCGUUGACAAAACGGAGGAAGGUGGGGAUGACGUCAAAUCAUCAUGCCCCUUAUGACCUGGGCCUCACACGUACUACAAUGGCUGUCAACAGAGGGAAGCAAAGCCGCGAGGUGGAGCAAACCCCUAAAAGCAGUCUUAGUUCGGAUUGUAGGCUGCAACCCGCCUACAUGAAGUCGGAAUUGCUAGUAAUCGCAGAUCAGCAUGCUGCGGUGAAUACGUUCCCGGGCCUUGUACACACCGCCCGUCACGCCAUGGGAGUCGGUAACACCCGAAGCCUGUAGUCUAACCGCAAGGAGGACGCAGUCGAAGGUGGGAUUGAUGACUGGGGUG
rnacentral:rRNA from 1 species